AGAGUUUGAUCAUGGCUCAGGACGAACGCUGGCGGCGUGCUUAACACAUGCAAGUCGAACGGAAAGGCCCUUCGGGGUACUCGAGUGGCGAACGGGUGAGUAACACGUGGGUGAUCUGCCCUGCACUUUGGGAUAAGCCUGGGAAACUGGGUCUAAUACCGAAUAUGACCAUGCGCCUCCUGGUGUGUGGUGGAAAGCUUUUGCGGUGUGGGAUGGGCCCGCGGCCUAUCAGCUUGUUGGUGGGGUAAUGGCCUACCAAGGCGACGACGGGUAGCCGGCCUGAGAGGGUGACCGGCCACACUGGGACUGAGAUACGGCCCAGACUCCUACGGGAGGCAGCAGUGGGGAAUAUUGCACAAUGGGCGCAAGCCUGAUGCAGCGACGCCGCGUGAGGGAUGACGGCCUUCGGGUUGUAAACCUCUUUCAGCACAGACGAAGCGCAAGUGACGGUAUGUGCAGAAGAAGGACCGGCCAACUACGUGCCAGCAGCCGCGGUAAUACGUAGGGUCCGAGCGUUGUCCGGAAUUACUGGGCGUAAAGAGCUCGUAGGUGGUUUGUCGCGUUGUUCGUGAAAACUCACAGCUUAACUGUGGGCGUGCGGGCGAUACGGGCAGACUUGAGUACUGCAGGGGAGACUGGAAUUCCUGGUGUAGCGGUGGAAUGCGCAGAUAUCAGGAGGAACACCGGUGGCGAAGGCGGGUCUCUGGGCAGUAACUGACGCUGAGGAGCGAAAGCGUGGGGAGCGAACAGGAUUAGAUACCCCGGUAGU
rnacentral:rRNA from 1 species